rnacentral:rRNA from 1 species
UACGUAGGGGGCUAGCGUUGUCCGGAUUUAUUGGGCGUAAAGAGCUCGUAGGCGGCUUGUCGCGUCGACUGUGAAAACCCGCAGCUCAACUGUGGGCUUGCAGCCGAUACGGGCAGGCUAGAGUUCGGUAGGGGAGACUGAAAUUCCUGGUGUAGCGGUGAAAUGCGUAGAUAUCUGGAGGAACACCGGUGGCGAAGGCGGCGUCCUGGACCAACACUGACACUGAGGAGCGAAAGCCAGGGGAGCAAACGGG